UACAGCCGGUGAGGUGGCAUGGGUGAAACUGCCUCAGAGAAAGUUUUGGAUUCAGCCCAAGCUCCGCCCUCCCCCUCCGGGGUCCGCCCCUUGCAGAGUUGGUCCGGUCCAUCCACUUCGCCACACUGCGCAGGCGCCGCGCGAGGGCGUCCAGUUUGAAAACAUGGCGCCGGGACAGCGGUUGGUUUUGUGCGAGGAGACUGUCCGGGAGCGCAGCGGCCUGGGUCCCCACCGGGACCUGGCUGAGCUUCGAUCUCUGUCUAUUCCUGGAACAUACCAAGAGAAGAUUACUCACCUGGGGAACUCUCUGAUGCGUUUGACAGCUCUAAAAUCCUUAGAUCUCUCACGUAACUCCUUGGUUAGUCUUGAGGGCAUUCAGCAUCUGGUCUUCUUGGAGAAUCUCAAUCUCUACUACAACUGUAUUUCUUCAUUAGCAGAAGUAUUUAGGCUCCACUCCCUGACAGAGCUCCAGGAUGUGGACUUCCGGCUUAACCCUGUUGUGAAGAAUGAGUCAGACUAUCGCCUAUUUGUUGUGCACAUGCUCCCCAAGCUCCGACAGCUAGAUGACCGUCCUGUGAGAGAGAGUGAGCGGAAGGCUUCUCAGCUUCAUUUUGCUUCAGAGGAUUCACUGGACUCAAAGCAGAGCUGCUCAGCUUUAACAGUUGGAAGACCACACCACUCCAGAACCAGAUGUGCUGGUACUUCAGCUAAGAAAUGCUUGGUUAUGGAUGCUGAUGAUGAAGCUGUCUUGAACCUCAUUGCUGAGUGUGAAUGGGACCUAAGCAAUCCUCCUGGGAGCACGAACUCCAGCCAAAAGGAACAUGAGGCUGACCUUCAUUAUUCCCAAGACUCCGGACAUCUAUUGAGUCCUUUGUCCAUCCAGCAUCAAUGUGGGGACUCAGUGAGGAGAGGCCAUGAGAAGAAGAAAGGCACCUCCAGAGGGUGCUGUCCAGGUCAUUCACCACAGGACCAGCUCUGUGGGGAGCUCACCCCACAGCAUGGAGUGCUGGAGGCCUGCCAUGUGCAUGUGCCACACACCCGCUUUACUUCACACCCAGACUCUAUGGAUGUUGAGGACUGUGGUUCAUCUUCUCAGAAAUCAAGUUUGUCAUCACAGAAUAUUUUAAAUUCUUUGCCUGUUCCUGAAAAGUACAGGAAGCGAAGGAUGCCUGGUGGGAGAUUCCAGGUGCCUUCAGACCGGGAGUGUCUGAGCUGCCUAGAGAGGGCUGAUGUACCCUCUGGCCUCAAGGAAAAUCUGAGCAGACAGGAUGGCAUGGAGAGCCACAGUCAGGUGGCCUUGUCUCAUCCUGAGUCUUUGGAGGCUGAAGAGCAGACAUCUCAUGGCACAAGUGACCCCAGAGUGCUGUCUCCUAAACUUGGCGUGGCUGCAGUGCCUGAGCAGAGGCCUGCUCUGGAAGUGGCACUCCUGGAGGCACUCCUCGACCUAAUAGACAGGUGCUCAAGCGGCAGUGGAUCCCUGCAUGGCAACGAGGCAUUCCUUGCUCAGGCCAGGCAUGUUUUGUCAUCUCUUCAAGACUUCACAGCAGCUCGGGACAGUUCGGCACUUGAAAAGGAAGAAAUUAGUUACCUCUCUCUUGAAAAUAAGUCUCUGCAAAGCCGCCUCGCUGAGCAGCAGCAGCAGUACACUGCUGCGGUGAACAAGGUGACGGCGGAACUCAACAGUUCAAGGAAGGAGCUGGACACAUUGAGGCAACAUUUAGACAAAUCUUUGGAAGAGAAUAGUAACUUAAAAUCUCUUCUAUUCAGCGUGAAAAAAGAAGUAAAAAAUUCAGACACAUCAGCUGCAUUAACUUUGCAGAUCACUGGACUUCAGGCAAGUAUGAAACAGCUCUCAGGGGAAGUUGUGGAGCUGAAGCAGCACUUGGAGCACUAUGACAAGAUCCAGGAGCUCACACAGAUGCUGCAAGAGAGUCACAGUUCCCUAGUCAGCACCAAUGAACAUCUCCUGCAGGAGUUGAGCCGUACGCGGGCACAACAUAGAGCUGAGGUAGAGCAGAUGCACUGGAGCUUCCAGGAGUUUAAGAAGACUGCUGCCCUCUUCCCACACCAUAGCUCUCCACUUGGUGGCCGCCAGUCCUGCUAGUUCCUACUGGCCUGUGCUCUCCUCCAUCAGUUACAGCUCCAGAGUUGUGCCUGGGCAGUAACUGUGCAAAUAAACACUGUUUCAGCCAAAACCAGGGGAAGACUUAUAUACAGUGUGCAGAAUGAAACAUGGAUGACUGCAUAUGUAAAAAGUGCUCACUGGAAUAGGCAAGUUUAACCACCAGGAAGAUACCCCUUGUAGAGUGAAGCCCGCGCAGACAGAUGCUCUUAUGCACCAGUGCUGGUGCUGCUGAGUACAGUCCCUCUGGAGACUGCCUGGGAUUGUCUAGAAAGCUAUUGUGAAUAUGUUGAAAGAAACAUGAACAUAAUGGAAAUAAAGCCUUACUAACAAA